rnacentral:snoRNA from 1 species
CCAACAUGGAUACCCCAGGAGGUCACUCUCCCAGGGCUCUGUCCAGGUGGCCUAAGGAGCAUAGGGUUCUGCCCGGUAACAUACAGUCCCAUUCCAUGACAUUAGAGAUGAAGCUAGGCCUCAAGCCUGCACCUGCAUAUUUCUACAGCUUCUCAGAGUCCUGCAGACAAUGACUGAGGAGACAAACCAUGCAGGAAACAUAU